GCGGCGGACGGGUGAGUAACACGUGGGCAACCUACCCUAUAGUUUGGGAUAACUCCGGGAAACCGGGGCUAAUACCGAAUAAUCUCUUUUGCUUCAUGGUAAGAGACUGAAAGACGGUUUCGGCUGUCGCUAUAGGAUGGGCCCGCGGCGCAUUAGCUAGUUGGUGAGGUAACGGCUCACCAAGGCGACGAUGCGUAGCCGACC
rnacentral:rRNA from 1 species